UUUGUUGGGAAUGCAUUUGUAUUUUCAGUGAUUUGAUAACUGAAGCUUCUUCUAAUCAGACUCUCAGAAUUUUAAUUUUAGAUUAAGAAGAUAACCCGAAUUGACACCAUUUUUCCCAAGAGAUAUUAGAUGGUGUAAUUUUGCCACUUUAUUUAAAAUUGUGAAUUCAGUAAAUUAAAAAGAGCUGUGUUUGAAUAUGUACAACCCAUCUGUAUUGAAAUUUACAUUUCGAGUAUUAACUGCUGUAAGUGAAUUGAGGACACAAGCCUGAGACUCGCUGUUUCUUACUAUAAAUAGAGUAUAAACAAAAACAGACUUGCAUGGAGUAGGGUUUACAACUUUUGGAACAUCUGGUAAGAGUUGGCCAAUUACAGGAAUCUGGGAAAGUGGGGAAUGAAUCUGUUUAGGAUGAUGAAAGACAGGGGACUAACAAAAGAGUCACCUCUGAAUUUAUUGUGAUUUUUCUAACCUGGCUUGUGAUUUAAUCACUGGGCUAUGGUGCUACAUCUGAGCCAAGUAUAUUUCUUAGAAUAACAACUUUCCUUUUUUUUUUUUUUUUUCCUUAACCUUGAGAAUCCCUCUUUAACAUGAAAAAAGGGAA